GCCUGCAUGGGAAAAUCGAUUUUUUCGUGCGAUCGGAUUAGGAGGCCCGCACGGAAAAAUCGAUUUUCCUAUGAGGGC
rnacentral:pre_miRNA from 17 species